rnacentral:sRNA from 1 species
ACAGCCUGCUGGGAAGCUGCAGAUGGGCAGGGUCUGCAGCUGCGCAGAGAAUGAAAUGGAUGGUCCAACACAGACAAGGCCGACCACUCCACCGGAUGAAAGCCUUGUCAGAGCAAAUCUGUAGAUUUGUGGCAGAAACCACGAAAUGGGGCUAUUUGGAGUGGCAUUAAGAGGAGUUUACCAGAACACAGAUUACCAGUUCCUUUUCAUUGGAAAGAGAAUUCUUUUCACAUCAACUAUAUUCAAGUCUACAACAGGUUAAACGUGACCAUGUUUAUGAUCAACUUCAAUAGAGCAUGAAUAGUCUACCUCAUUUUGUUUGAUUAUACAUAGCCUCUUUAUCAGUGAGAAAUAUGAGUUCAUUGAUUUGAGAAAUCAAUAUAAAAAUUGUAUGCAGGGUGGUUUCAAAAUCAUACUGAGGAAGCAACAUUUCUAAUUGCAGUUUUCUCAGACAACCCUUUUGUCAUUUGGGGAGGGAAUGUCCAGUUAUUUUUUAAGCUACCUGGGUAAGAUUCCUUUCCUCACUACUUUCAGAAAUCAGGCUUUUUACGUACAUUCAAAAAGGAGGUAUGCUGUUUUGUCCAUAUUACUUCACAGGGUAACCCAACUUACUGUUUACUGUGUACAAAGUGUAGGAUUAAUCUUUAUGCUAAAAAAUGUAUACAAUUUUAAGACAAGACCAUGGAAGUGCUUUAGUGCAUUACAGUAAUUAUCUUCAUCUUACCCAUGAAACCUUUCAUGACCCAAGUGACCUUGUAGUUAUUAAUAAUUAUAUUGGUUUAUUACUCCUGCACAACACCCUUUUCACAGUGUUACAUACACGAGGUUUCGAUUUUUUUCUACCCCAUCUUUUUAUUUAGUUCUGUGCCUCUUGUAUAAUAAAGUACAUUUCGUGGCAGUUAGGCAUGUAGUUGCCUAAGGAUGGAAAGUAUUGAGAAAUUAUGAUAUUCUAAUAAGAUAUCCCUGUAGGUACUGUGGAGAAAGGUGUACUAAAAUUCUCACGUUAAUUAAGACUGUUUUCCCUUCCUUUUUAGUUGUAAUAUAUUUUAUAUAUGCUAGUAAACACAUCUAUAUUCUAUACUCAGGGAUCACACUUUAUUCCAUUGAUUGAGAUAUAUAUGUUUAUUUCACACUAUAUUUUGUUUCUAGUAUUAUUUUUGUUUGUUUUCUUGCUGCUAAUUUAGAUGUUAAUGUUUUGUUCCAGUUUAUAAUCUCUUGUGGGCAGAAGAUGACAGAACUGACAUACUACAGAGGAAGGUAUGAAGAGUUACAGCGAGCAAGUAUGGGCCAUUCUCUCAGGUAUUUCUGCAGAAGCCACCCAUUAUAAGUGCACCAAACUUAUGUAUCAUUGGUAAGAAUUGCUCACAUGUGUUUAUACAUUAUGGCCGUUUUAAAGCAUAGAUUAACCCAUAAUGUUCAAGAGAGAGCCUCCUUGUUUUUCUUUUAAAUUCAUUUGUUUUGAUUUCGUGCAUAUAAUUAUUUUGUCUAUAUUUUUUUUUGUUGUUGUUGUUUUCUUUUGGGCAACACUUCCAUUCCUGGUAGCUGCUGUGGCCAGAAGAUGAUACUGAAUUUCUGAGAGCUGGAGUCAAGGGUGAUUGUGAGUUACCAUGUGGGUGCUGACAAAGGAACACAAGUCCUUUGGAAGUGCUCCUAAUCCAAGCCAUAUCACGAGACAGAGUCACCUUAGCUUUGUUGUUGUUGUUGAUGAUGAUGUUGUUGUUGUUUUUGACACAGAGUCUCUCACAGGGACCUGAGUUUCACAGAUUUGACUGCCUGACCAGGGACCUCCAGGGACAUGGAAUUCUUGACUUUCCAGUGUUUGCUAGGACUGAAGAUGUGUACCACCAUCACCCCACGGUUGUAAGGAAGCCAUACGUGUCUGACUGAAAAAUGGAUUACUUAGAUAAGGAUGACCCUUGAAGAACAAUCUUGCUUUGGGUUGAGAUACUUCAGUUAUGAAGACCACUUAGCCAGAGGCAGAACUACAGAAGGAAAAAGCAAGAUCUACCUGAGGACCAAGCUAUGUCACUCUUUGGAAUAUACC